rnacentral:tRNA from 1 species
GGGGAUAUAGCUCAGUGGUAGAGCAUUCGACUGCAGAUCGAGAGGUCCCUGGUUCGAACCUGGGUAUCCCAU